rnacentral:rRNA from 1 species
UACGUAGGGUGCGAGCGUUGCCCGGAUUUAUUGGGCGUAAAGGGCGCGCAGGCGGCCACGCACGUCCGUUGUGAAAUCGCUCGGCUCAACUGGGCGGGGUCAGCGGAUACGGCGUGGCUGGAGCAAGCUAGGGGGCAAUGGAAUUCCCGGUGUAGUGGUGGAAUGCGUAGAUAUCGGGAGGAACACCAAUGGCGAAGGCAGCUCGCUGGGACGUGACUGACGCUGAGACGCGAAAAGCGUGGGGAGCAAACAGGG